GAUGAACGCUGACAGAAUGCUUAACACAUGCAAGUCCACUUGAACUUCGGUUUGGGUGGCGGACGGGUGAGUAACGCGUAAAGAACUUGCCUCACAGUUAGGGACAACAUUUGGAAACGAAUGCUAAUACCUGAUAUUAUGAUUUUAGGGCAUCCUAGAAUUAUGAAAGCUAUAUGCGCUGUGAGAGAGCUUUGCGUCCCAUUAGCUAGUUGGAGAGGUAACGGCUCACCAAGGCGAUGAUGGGUAGCCGGCCUGAGAGGGUGAACGGCCACAAGGGGACUGAGACACGGCGCUUACUCCUACGGGAGGCAGCAGUGGGGAAUAUUGGACAAUGGACCAAGAGUCUGAUCCAGCAAUUCUGUGUGCACGAUGAAGUUUUUCGGAAUGUAAAGUGCUUUCAGUUGGGAAGAAAAAAAUGACGAUACCAACAGAAGAAGUGACGGCUAAAUACGUG
rnacentral:rRNA from 1 species